rnacentral:lncRNA from 8 species
GAGUUCCACGAAUAAGAUACAGGUUAGACCAGUGGACCAUCUCUGUGGAGACGCCACAGAGUUAUGACUCAGAUGAGCUUCAGCCCUAUGACUCAUGAGCUUCAGCCCUAUGACUCAGAUGAGAUCCAACCCAUUGGAACAGAUAAGUCUCUUGGUGCCGAUGAACAAGGUGAACUGAUUGAUUCUCCAGUCUGGUUUCUGUUUCUGGUGGUCCCUAUGGUGGUGUUGACAGCUAUGGGAGCUCUGGCUGUGGGUUACUACCUGUGUGUGUGGAGGGGAGGCAGACUAGGCUACCGGCCCAGGAGAGACUUAUUGACAAACGUUUAACCAAUUUGCUUUCUGCUCUGUUUGGUUUGAAAAUAAAUUGUUGCUAAUAAAUGUUAGUUCCCUGGCUCCUGCCUUUUGUAACACAUCAGUAUAUGAUUUUAUGUCCAUUAAAUGAAACAACCACAAUAAGACCUGGUAGUUUCCUGAUGUCAGUGAAUUGAUUGCUACUGGGACUGCUACAUGGCACAAUGCAUGCCAAAUCUGGACCUAGGCAAUUCUAGGCUGUCAGAAUGUUUUCUUUGGGAUACUCGUUCACCUUAUGUUUCUGUCAUGUUAGGGUUGUUGGUAAGCUGUCAUUUAGGACAAACUCAUUGACUAGUCUUGGUGAUACACAUGGUGUCACAUUCAGGUGACUGACCUGAUGGUGCUCCUGAUUGCUUAACACUUUACUGUCCUAGAUAACAACUGCAAUCCAAAGGUUUUCUUUAUCUGCUGAUUUCAGAGCAACUUUAAAAAGAUACCCUUGCAUACCACCAGGGGUCAUAUUGUUUUGUUCUAGUAUUACUAGGGUAUUGGCGUUUAAACCAUCUGCAUAUAGAACAGAUGGCAUGGGACUGCAUCAGACAAUCACUACCGGUUUCUCUUUCCCUCUAAAACUCUGCUCCCAGGCAGUCGCUGUUUUUAUUUUCCCACUGUGGUCUAGCGUCCCUCAUUAUCAGAACUGUUGUGAUUGGCAGGUUGAAGAGGGUUGUCCAUGUGAUUUAUUCCUUGUUUGUGAGCUGAACGGCUCGUCUCAAAUCCCGACACAUGAGGCUCAUCCAACCAAUAUCAGGUGGCAUUAGGAGGCCCAAGGAGAAGGAGCGCUGAUGAAUUGAAUUAAUCUUCCCAUAUGUGAUGGCUGGGGGUGUUCACAGGGGCUGGGGAAAAGGGGAGCAUUGUUCGUCUGUCACUCCGAUAGCCACAUCACUCUGUGAUUUGUGCCUGGGUAGUGAAGGCCAAGAGAACCCCACCCCUUUCGCUUCCAUCCACAUACCUCCGUCACUCCCCUCAUAAUGCAUUUAGGAAUCGACAGUGCCUAAAAUGACUUAAU